AUGGAUUUUCUUGCUUUGUUUUUUCUCGAGGCCCUUGCCCUGCUCUGUCUAAGCCCAUCAUCUCUGUCUCACCAGUAAAGGUGGCGCCUUCUCACAGGGUGAUGGGCCACGUGUGCUUGGCCGAGGUUAGGGCUGUCAGGCAGCACGUGGGCUGGGUGCCCUCCUCUGAGAGUCACUCCUCCAAGUCUCAGUGUAUCUCAGUGGGUAAAUGUUGAACACAGCACAUUAUUCACAAUAGCCAAAAGGUAGACGCAACCCAAAUAUCUGUCCGUGGGUAAAUGAUCAAAAGAGACGUGGUACAUACAUACCAUGGAAUAUUAUUCAUCUUUAGAAAGGAAACCCCUGACAUGUGCUACAAAAUGGAUGAACCUUAAGGACAAAAUGCUAAAUGAGAUAAGCCAGUUACAAAGGAACAAAAACUGUACAUGAUUCCAUCCCCUAGAGUAACCAGGUUCAGAGACAGGAGGUGGAAUGGUGGCAGCCAGGGUUUGUGGGGGGAGGAGGAUCUGUUGUUAAACGGAUACAGAGUAUCCAUUUAGGAAGAUGAAAAAUGCUCUGGAGAUGGGUGGUGGUGAUGUUUGCACAACAGUGUGACUGGACUUAAUACCACUGUAUGCUUUAAAAUGGUUAAGCUGGUAGAUUUUAAGUUAUGUGUAUUUCAAGACAAAUAAAACUUAGAAAAUAAAUUAAAAGCUAAGGCUCUAAUGGAAAGACUAUUAAUCAAAUUCUGGCUCAGCUUUUUACCAGAAUAUGAUGGAUCUUGGUCAAGUUAACCUCUCUGAGCCUCAGUUUCCCCAUCUGUGAAAGGGGACUCUUUACGAGGACUAUUACAGAGUCCCCUUGAGAUUAUGUGUAUUAACCAUGGGGCACAGCGCCUGCCUGGCACCUUAGGAACUCAGGAUAUGUGGUUAUUAUCAUGCAUGUGAAGCUCAUGGAAGCAGUCUUUUCCCCUCAGACAUUCCCACAGAAGCAUUUAGGGCAUUUGGCUUAACAGCAAGGUUAGAGGGACACUGACAAGAAUGACUGGAGAUCCAGGGCGGUGCAGGUGUACCCUGCCUGGGUCUUCCUGCCUGUGGGUCAACAUCCUCCCCACAGGAAACAGUCCCCAAGAGUACUGGGAUCCACUUUGCUGUGUCUAGAGAAAGCCCUUCCUAGGGGAACACUUCUUACAUUAUAAAAAGUUCACCAUCCCCGUGUAGACUCAUAGGGAGUCGAUAAUUGUUACUGACAGCAAUAAGAGUUCAUUUUCUGUUGCUUUGAUUAAACAAUAAUUUGAUCGGAAAAUGCUUCCUGGAACAGUAAUUAAUGACUGGCUGGAGUUGCUAACGCUGGAGGUAAAGCCAAAGGCACUUAACCCAGCUGGUCAUUAGCACGAUGAAAUAUUAGACCGAGGGUAUUUACUGCUGGUUCAAAUUCUGAAAUUGGUAGGAAGAAAAAGAGAAAGAUAAAAACCUAAGCAAUUUCUUUUUAUGCAAUGAGAAGUUUAAAAAUGGAGUGUAGUGUUGCCAUGGAUACCAUUUCUGGCUCUGGGUGGCGCUGGGCUGUCCUCCGCCCCUGCAUCCAGCCACAUGGCAAUUAGACACGGUUUUCAGCAGAGCAGCUGUGCCUCCCCAGCACCUAUAAUGAAUAUCUGCAGCUCCAGGCUCCCUCGGAAAUCCUCAAACCUCCGCUUGUCACCUAAUUUCUUUGGGAAGUGUUUCUAAUUACUCAUUUCUUGCUACCUAUUGCCAGGCAAGUCUUCGUGUAUACAAUAUACGAAUUGCAUGAAACCACAAAACCGUGAGGGGCGCCUGGAGUGGUCCAAAUUGUUAAGGAGUUGUUUUUAACUUACUAGUUAAGUAUUACUGGGUGUAAUAAGGCAUAAUUUACAUGAACAAAAACAGCAUUAAGGGAACAGCACGUGCCUGGUUCUUUAUAGCUCUGCAGAGAUCAGAGCCUAUUUCGACAAGAUGGCUGUAUAAUAGAACUUCCAACGCUAACACAUGGAGUGUUUAACUACUGUAGAGUCUUUGUGAAGAGGUACUUAAUUAUUUUAUAUUGUCACCUGGGACCUGCCAUUUCGGGAACUUUUGGCAGUUUAGCUUGCUGGAGGUGAAAACAUUGUUACCUUUGGACUCUCUUGGCUUAGGAAAGUCUACAAAAUGUAAGAAAACAUUCACCAGCUCUUUGAGAAAACUGAAGUCAAGUUAAAUCUAAAUCCAGAUGCUAUUGUUUGGAUGUUUAGUUUUCUUUGGAGCUCAGUAAGCUGGAGGAUUCUUUAGCUCUUGAAGACUGGGCAAAAAUAGUAUUCUGAAAGGAUGGGUUUGACAACUGGGCCAAACCCUUCCCCACAGAAGGGGUCUAUGGCCACCACCCUCCCCACCCACCUUGAAUCUAGGCAGGCUGUGAGUCCCUUAUAGCCCAUAGGACUUCGUGGAAAUGAUGCUGCAUGAUUUCCAAGUUACAUUCCCUGAAGAGCAUAUGAAAUGGAAUCAUACCGGUGCAGCCAUCUUUGGAAAAUACAACCACCACAAGAUCCAAGAAGACUGAACUACGGAAGGAAGAGGCCUGGAUGACAAAAAAAUACCACAGGCAAAAUGAAAAUGCAAAAGGCAUUGUAAAGAAAUGCUAACUCAACUCUUUCCCCUCAGACCCUCACUGAGGCCCUCCGUGGGGCAUAUUGUGGGUUGACUACAAGCAUAUUUGGCUGGUAACCUAUUAUUUUAAGGGACUACAGGGAGAAAUUGGGGUGACUGUGCCUGCUUCCUCUUUUCUUUGAGGCCAGGAGGAAGAGAAUGUUCUCUCCUUCAUUCGUAACCUGUCAGGCUCACUUCAGAUGCCACUUUCUCUGCAGCCCCUCCCUGGUCCCCAUCCUGUGAGCACUGAGAGGUAUUAUACUUUCUGCCUUGUAUUACAGGUAUUCACCUGUGACUUUUAAAUCUUACCUCUCUUUGAUUCCUCAAGAGUAUAUUAAACUAUGAAUUUCUCAAGGGGCAGGGACUUUUUUUUUGAUUCACCACUAUUCCUUUUCCACCCUGGUCUCUGCAUUUUGCAUGUUAAUUAUUCAGUAUGUGCUGGUGGAAUUCAUGAAGCAGUUGUGUGCCAGUGUCUUUAUUUAUGCUGAUAUAUAUUCAUCUAUAUUUAGUGAUCCUGGAAUAUAGUAGGUGCUCAGUUGAAAGAUGUUUUUAGUGAAUAGCUACAAUCUACUAAGCACACUGCAGGGGAAAGGACGUUAAGAGCUGGUUCAGCCCUUCUUCACUAUUUACACUUUGUACAACAGUAGAAGAGCUAUGACAAGGCAGUAUUGUGAUUAUGAUUUAUUGACAAAAGUCUGUGGGACUCUGAGAAAGCUUCUCUAAGCCAAUAUAGCCAAAAUCAGAAAACAUAAAGGAGAAGAUUGAUUGUUUCUACUGCAUAGAAAUGAAACACUUCAGUACAUCCAAAAAAAAAAAUCAUACAUACAAGUAAGGUAAAUGGCAAC